rnacentral:lncRNA from 1 species
UCACCAAUCAGAAGAAACCUCCUCUAGUGGGGUCCGUUCGUUAUAGGAGGGCCCACUAAAUAGGUUCGCUGCCUAUGCUGUUUCGAGUUGUGGGUGUUCUAAGGAAUCCUCUCCCGGGAGCGGAGGCAACAUAGGGUGCCAAUGUGCAGCAAUCACGCGGAUCGCUGACGUGUACAAGAAAAACCCCGCCCCAAACACCGCCGCUCCGUCCGCCAUCCGAGCCGUUGGAUUUCAAUUUACCCCUCUGCACACCCUAUUGAUGUUCGCCCUUCUUAUCUCCUCCCAUUCGGCCCCCCGUCUCCUGCCCCGUACGUCUUCUCUUCUCGACACCAUCCUCACCCGAAGAAGCGCCAAUCUCAAGGUGAAGCCCCCCCGCCCCCCCCCCCCCCC